rnacentral:rRNA from 1 species
CAGUCGCCGCGGGAAUACAGAGGGUGCGAGCGUUAAUCGGAAUUACUGGGCGUAAAGAGUGCGUAGGUGGUUAAUUAAGUUAUCUGUGAAAUUCCUGGGCUUAACCUGGGCAGGUCAGAUAAUACUGGUUAACUCGAGUAUGGGAGAGGGUAGUGGAAUUUCCGGUGUAGCGGUGAAAUGCGUAGAGAUCGGAAGGAACACCAGUGGCGAAGGCGGCUACCUGGCCUAAUACUGACACUGAGGCACGAAAGCGUGGGGAGCAAACAGGAUUAGAUACCCCAGUAGUCCCUGUCUCUUAUAC